rnacentral:rRNA from 1 species
UACGGAGGGUGCAAGCGUUAUCCGGAUUCACUGGGUUUAAAGGGUGCGUAGGUGGAGUGGUAAGUCAGUGGUGAAAUCUUGCAGCUUAACUGUAAAAUUGCCAUUGAUACUGACGAUCUUGAGUACACUUGAAGUGGGCGGAAUAUGUCAUGUAGAGGUGAAAUUCUUAGAGAUGACAUAGAACACCGAUUGCGAAGGCAGCUCACUAAAUUGUAACUGACGCUGAGGCACGAAAGCGUGGGGAUCAAACAGG